CCCUAGCUGCCGUGGGCUCUGGAGAACUGGGGGUGGCUGGUCCUAGUACGAGAGGACCGGAGGGGCCGCAUCACUGGUUUUCGGGUUGUCAUGCCAAUGGCACUGCCCGGUAGCUAAAUGCGGAAGAGAUAAGUGCUGAAAGCAUCUAAGCACGAAACUUGCCCCGAGAUGAGUUCUCCCUGACUCCUUGAGAGUCCUGAAGGAACGUUGAAGACGACGACGUUGAUAGGCCGGGUGUGUAAGCGCAGCGAUGCGUUGAGCUAACCGGUACUAAUGAACCGUGAGGCUUAACCUUACAACGCCGAAG
rnacentral:rRNA from 1 species